UGGGGAAUCUUGCGCAAUGGGCGAAAGCCUGACGCAGCCAUGCCGCGUGUAUGAUGAAGGUCUUAGGAUUGUAAAAUACUUUCACCGGUGAAGAUAAUGACUGUAGCCGGAGAAGAAGCCCCGGCUAGCUUCGUGCCAGCAGCCGCGGUAAUACGAAGGGGGCUAGCGUUGCUCGGAAUUACUGGGCGUAAAGGGAGCGUAGGCGGACAUUUAAGUCAGGGGUGAAAUCCCAGAGCUCAACUCUGGAACUGCCUUUGAUACUGGGUGUCUUGAGUGUGAGAGAGGUAUGUGGAACUCCGAGUGUAGAGGUGAAAUUCGUAGAUAUUCGGAAGAACACCAGUGGCGAAGGCGACAUACUGGCUCAUUACUGACGCUGAGGCUCGAAAGCGUGGGGAGCAAACAGGAUUAGAUACCCUGGUAGUCCACGCCGUAAACGAUGAUUGCUAGUUGUCGGGAAGUUUACUUCUCGGUGACGCAGCUAACGCAUUAAGCAAUCCGCCUGGGGAGUACGGUCGCAAGAUUA
rnacentral:rRNA from 1 species